GACGAACGCUGGCGGCGUGCUUAACACAUGCAAGUCGAACGGAAAGGCCCUGCUUUUGUGGGGUGCUCGAGUGGCGAACGGGUGAGUAACACGUGAGUAACCUGCCCUUGACUUUGGGAUAACUUCAGGAAACUGGGGCUAAUACCGGAUAGGAGCUCCUGCUGCAUGGUGGGGGUUGGAAAGUUUCGGCGGUUGGGGAUGGACUCGCGGCUUAUCAGCUUGUUGGUGGGGUAGUGGCUUACCAAGGCUUUGACGGGUAGCCGGCCUGAGAGGGUGACCGGGCCGAGGGAGGGGGGGGGACGGCGCGGAGACGGGGGGGGGGCGGGAGGGGGGCAGAGGGCGAGGUGGGGGGGUGCCGGCGUAGGCGGCGGGGGGGGGGGGGGGACGGGGGGCGGGUGGUACACCGCUGCCGCGGGGGACGGGGGGUGAGUGAGGGGAAGGAGUAAAGAAGCACCGCCUAACGAGGUGCCAGAGGCCGGGUUAAUAGGGGGAAGAGCAGUCGUCUGAAC
rnacentral:rRNA from 1 species